rnacentral:lncRNA from 12 species
UCAGAUAGAAAAAUUUCAGAGUUGCCUUUCAAAAUUUCUUCAAGAUGAUAAAGAGAACAAAUUAGGCUGGUUAGAGAUGUAGCUGUAGAAGCAAGUGGGACUAAUGUACUGGAAGAAGCAGUAAAGAUGUUAAGAAACCAAGAGUACUGUGUGUAAAAGAAAAUGCAUUGCACAGCCUGUAUGCACAGUGUGGGGAACAGCCCCAUAGGCAGCCAGGAACCAGCACUUUCUAGAUCUCAACAGAGAUUUUUUUCCCUUCACUCUGUGCUCUUUUUUGCUCUGCAGGUAAUUAUGGCUUUGGAGCAGAGAGGAUGGGAGCUGGGAUGUACUUUAGGGUAGAGUCAGCUCACUGGUUCAUACUGUGAAGAAGCUGUGAAGGUGGAAAAUACCUCCUUGCCUUGGUGAGGAAUUAAAGGAUUAAGGAGGACAGCAGCAGCCUGUGCUUGGGAUGCUGCAAGAGGGGAGUUGCAGUCAAAGGCCACUGCUCUUCCUGCCUCUUUGUGGCUCCCCUUUUCCCCCAGAUGAUGCUGCUACAGGUCACAAAGAGAUGCUUCCAAGCCAGGAUAUCUCCUUUCUUUGUUCAGGUGACUGCAUUUCCUGUGCAAAGGACUGCCAAGUAACAGCUGCUCAUGAAUGCUGCUCCCCACCACGGCUAAUCCAGCAGCAAGCCCUCCAACGACACUGGUGACUCUGGCUGAUGCUCUCCUGUCCCAUCCUCACCAGGUGAGGCCUUAAAAAUUCUUCAGACUUAGAUGAGGUAGAACAUGGGAAUUACUGGGCAUUUCUGCUGUAAGAAAAAGAAGUCUCCUUUUCCUUUUGCAAUUGUUUAUCCCAAGUUAUAGGCUGAUCCAAGGAAGUUUGGCUUCUCUGUCAGUUAGGAACUGCUCCCCUUCCACUCACUACUUUUUGUGCCAGUAAAAUAUUUGUGUGACAAGUGAAAAAAACCCCUGUGCACCAAGGUCUGGGUGGAGGGCUCUCUCUCUGUGGAGAUCAGCUUGCAUUGCCUUGUUUG